ACAACCCGCAGCCCCGCACCAACCCCGCACCCACAAAAAAAAAAUGACGGGAACCUGCUGCUCACCCAAAUUUUAUCCUCUUCUCUCCACCCUGCUCCUCACAGAGACCCAGGCCGCCGCCGCUCCAUGGAUCCCUAGCCUCAGCCGCCGCCGCCACCACUCCAUCGAUCCCUAGCCUUAGCCGCCGCCGUCGCUAUCUAUGUCUCCCCUCCUCGCUACCUGACCUCCUUCGAGGUCCAGUCCAUGCCGGCCUGUAGUAUGCUCCCCAUCCAAGUCAGAUCCGGAAGCUCACGUUCAGCAUCGAGUUCCUGCAGAUCUCCCCUGCGUCACCAGCGCCGACCAAGCGGAGUGCUGUCGGCAGCAAGCCUGAUGCGGAUUUGGUUGUCUGGUGCCGGUGAGGCGGCGACAUACGCUGAGUUCUUGCCCCUCAUCGGCAACGCCGCCGAGCCGGACGCAAGUCUGUGUCCUCCAUCACACGCUCGAUGAGACCGGAUGCGUUCCUGCCAAGAACGUUUACCUCAGCACCAUAUGGAAUACAUUGACCCUUUACUUGUCUAUUAGAGGGAAAGGGAACAAGAGGUUAUAUUUCAUACGGUGGAUGCACAAUUAUUUCAUUUGAUGAUUCUGUUCUA